rnacentral:pre_miRNA from 1 species
UUUAAGUGUAGGGUUUUGGACCCAAUGUUUGACCGUUCGUCUUUUUUGAAUUUUUUUAUGAUUAGUAUUUUUAUUGUUAUUAGAUGAUAAAAUAUGAAUAAUACUUUGUGUGACUUAUUUUUUAUUUUUUUUCAUAAUUUUUUUAAAUAAGAUGGGUGAUCAAAUGUUGAAAAAAAACCCACAACUACACUUAAA